AAAUCACAAAGCCAACGGUUUUUUAAUCAGCAGCAGAAGAAACAGCGCCUCUUGCAGGAAGAUAAACAACCUCAAAACUCCUCAAAAAUCCUGGUACAAGUGCUGGUGGUCCACCUGUCCGGGUUCAAGAGGUGUGGAUUCUGCAUGCUGUGAAUUUGAGAGACCUCUCAGAGUUUAUUUAGCUGAUUGUUUUUGUAACAUGUACAAUGUUUGCCAUUUUCAAUAAAACAACGUAUACAAAUU